rnacentral:rRNA from 1 species
GAAUCAUCGAAUCUUUGAACGCACAUUGCGCCCUCUGGUAUUCCGGAGGGCAUGCCUGUUUGAGCGUCGUU